GUGGUUGAGUAGCUCCUUGUGAAGAUGAUGUUUGAAUUUGAAAGCAGUUUUGAAAGAGGUGAGGCAGUUAGCCACGGGGAUCUCUGGGAGGAAAGCCUGGUUGGUGGUUUUUAUUUCCCUCCAAGACAGUCCCGAGUGCUCUAAAGUGGGCUGUCUAGCAAAGUGCUCCACUGGGUUCAGAAGCUGGGCUUUGCUCAGGUCCCACUCAUGAGUCGUGUGUCCUAAUCAGUUUGUUCUAGAGUACUCUAAAUAGCCCACCACCCUCACAAGCCCCCUGCCCCCAGAGCCCCUGCGUCGGCUCUCCCUGCUGUAGGAUAAUGGAUGUCGUGGAAUUGUCUGUUUAGGUGUCCAGCUUCUGCAGGAGGAAGUACAGAAGCUCCGAGAUUAGACCACACAGGGUCAAAACCUGCUCCUGCCGCUGACUGGCUGUCUGUCCUUCAUCAGGUCAUUUAACCUCUUUGACCAGUGCCUGGCAUAGAGCCUGGCCCGUGUAAGGAUGGUCGUGAGCAAUGGAGUGCAGUUUGUCCAGGAACACCCAGGAGAACACACCCGAAGCCUCACUGGAGGACUCAGCCUCCUCGUCUGGUUGAAAUGUUGCCAACGCCAUUCUACGUGAAUGAAGGUGUCUGGAGUGCUUGCACCCAGAGAAGGUUGUGAGAUCGUUGUCAUCACCCAGACGUGGUAGCAGACACCUGCACUCACACUCAGAUGAAUCUGGGGCUGACCUGGGACCUCGACGCAGACAUCUGGUUGCAGCCAAAAGACAUCGUCCCUCACCUUAAAUUAAGGACGUUAACGUGAAAUUGACUGGUC
rnacentral:lncRNA from 1 species